CAGCUACUCCCUCCGUUCGGAAUUACUUGUCGCAGAAAUGGAUGUAUCUAGAUGUAUUUUAGUUCUAGAUACAUUCAUUUCCGAGACAAGUAAUUCCGAACGGAGGGAGUACGUA
rnacentral:pre_miRNA from 1 species